rnacentral:rRNA from 1 species
UGGGGAAUGUUGCACAAUGGGCGCAAGCCUGAUGCAGCGACGCCGCGUGGGGGAUGAAGGCCUUCGGGUUGUAAACUCCUUUCGCUAGGGACGAAGCUUUUUGUGACGGUACCUAGAUAAGAAGCACCGGCUAACUACGUGCCAGCAGCCGCGGUAAUACGUAGGGUGCGAGCGUUGUCCGGAAUUACUGGGCGUAAAGGGCUCGUAGGUGGUUUGUCGCGUCGUCUGUGAAAUUCUGGGGCUUAACUCCGGGCGUGCAGGCGAUACGGGCAUAACUUGAGUGCUGUAGGGGUAACUGGAAUUCCUGGUGUAGCGGUGAAAUGCGCAGAUAUCAGGAGGAACACCGAUGGCGAAGGCAGGUUACUGGGCAGUUACUGACGCUGAGGAGCGAAAGCAUGGGUAGCGAACA